rnacentral:rRNA from 1 species
UACGUAGGGCGCAAGCGUUGUCCGGAAUUAUUGGGCGUAAAGAGCUCGUAGGCGGUCUGUCGCGUCUGCCGUGAAAACCCGAGGCUUAACCUCGGGCUGGCGGUGGAUACGGGCAUCACUGGAGUUCGGCAGGGGAGACUGGAAUUCCUGGUGUAGCGGUGAAAUGCGCAGAUAUCAGGAGGAACACCGGUGGCGAAGGCGGGUCUCUGGGCCGAUACUGACGCUGAGGAGCGAAAGCGUGGGGAGCAAACAGG